GUCAUUUAUAUCCUCCUGGUCGUCAGGCCAGCGUUUUUUGAAAGGUGUAGGUGCCACACACACACACACACACACACACACACACACACACACACACACACACACACGCACACACACACACAGUGCAGUAAAUUAAUAUGCUGGUACACAAAUUUACACUCGCUCAGACACAUUCACUCAACACACACAGCGUAAAACAUUAACAUACUGAUACAGACAUGUACAAGACACAAGUCCUACACUUGUCGGAGAGCCUUCCCAGAUGAGUUACAGCUGUAAUAGCUGCAAAAGAUGUGUAUAUAAAGUAAUAUUACAGCAAUAGGUGUAUAUAAGAAACAUAACUUCUUACCUUGGUCAAAACCUUCCGCUUCCGUGUUACCCGGAACACCGGUGCCAGGAGUCCAUUCACCAUCUGGUGUCCUUCUUGGGUGAAAUGACAGAAUCUUUUGCCACAUCUGCAGUAGAAAGAAAGGGAAAGAAAGACAGAAAGAAAGACAAAGAAAAAAGCUGGCAUUGGGCUCGGCGUGCUGAGGCCUUGAGAUCGAGGUGGCGGGUGCGUGGCUGGCAUUGGGUUGGCGUGCUGAGGCCUUGAGAUGGAGGUGGCGGGUGCGUGGCUGGCAUUGGGCUCGGCGUGCUGAGGCCUUGAGAUGGAGGUGGCGGGUGCGUGGCUGGCAUUGGGCUCGGCGUGCUGAGGCUUUGAGAUGGAGGUGGUGUCCUCAUGCCAGGGCAGGUCUGCAGGUGCUUUAUGCAUGAAGUUUUGCUGCCAGUAAUGGUUGAGCACACACAGUGGUAGUGUGGAGAUCUUGUGUUGGCACAGUUGUGUUGGCACCUAUAGAUUUUGUAGCCUUCCAAAAAGGAACAGAAAAGUAAAUUAGAAAAUAUUAACUGUUAGUAUUCCUUGUUCACUACAUCACAAGCUAAUUGAUAUGUUAUGAGUUUGAUAAAAGCAUAAAGAACAUAGAAAAUAUAAAACAUUAGUGACAUGCAUUAAACUUUCAAUUACCAUUG
rnacentral:lncRNA from 1 species